GGAAUCACUUCACUCCAGCGCCUCGUCAGUCUUCUUGCAUCUUUUCCAGCUUUGAAAAUCGACUAAGCGUUGCGCCAAGCCUACUUGUGAAGAGAAGAGUCGUCGGGCUAUUGCAGAGUGAAGGAAGGUGUCUUGUCUUGGCCUAGGCCUACUUGUGUCAACACCCAUAAAGUGCGGAAUAUCGUAUAUAAUGUGAUUAUUGUAUAUAUUGAUUUUUUUGAAUAAAAAGUAUAUGUACUUUAUUUAGUAUUUAAUCAGGAGGUUUCUCUUUUUCCUCAGGGAAAAGGAUAUCCCUUUGCCAUUUCCUUUCAGGAGGUUUCUCUUUUUCCUCAGGGAAAAGG
rnacentral:lncRNA from 1 species